rnacentral:snRNA from 1 species
AUACUUACUUGGUGUCGGGCCAUCCGGCGAUCAGUGAGGCCGGGGCCCCGUGCCGAGGCCUCCCAUUGCACUGCGGGUGGCUGAGGUACGCCACUACCCCUGAUGUGGGUAGGGGGGGCACGUAAUUUUUGGUAGUGGGGCUUGGCGUGCGCGCCAGCCCCUC